GUUUACUGCCUCAUCAGAAAGCCUCAAGCUUUAAAAUAUGUGGAGUACAAGAGAAAAGAUUAUUGUUAACAGGCAAUCUUGGUUAGAGAUUUCAGGGCAGAAUAGAAAAUUGUAGUGGACCUGAACAUUCUACUUUACUGAAUCAGAACAAUACAGUACAGUAUUCCAAAUAUGAGAACUAAAUUGUGAGUAAAUGUGAUCUUUAGUCUUCCCAGUUAAAAAGUGAACAAACUCUUUUUCAUUGAGCCUUGAAGCAUUUGAUUAAUUUUUCUCUGUUCAUCUUUCCGUGCUGGGUUGCGUUCCAUGGUUGAAUUUAGGGCCAAAAGGAAAGUGUUAAGAUCUAGUUCCUGUUAUAUUUCCAGGCUAAUAGAAAACAGGCACCAUCAUAAAUUGUGUUGUAACUGUUCUUCUGCUAUUUUUUUUAGCCUGCAACAGAAUCUUGUGGUUCUUAUCAAGAUGAAGUGUCUGAAACUACAUUUGGAUAGCUUUUUAAAAUGUAGGAGUUAUUAAAAAAUAAUAAUCAAAAAUCCCCCAAAGAAUGUAGCCUUUUUAUACAACUGUCUGACCACACACUCUUGAAUCUCAAUAAUGGCUAGACAAAAAGGAAACCAUGCUAGUUCAUGCAUCUGUGGUGUGCAGAAAAUGUACGAAUCUGCUAUGCAUUAUUAAGGAAUGCAUAUUUUGGAAUGUCCAUGUGGACUAAAAGACCAGGACCCGCUUCUGAGGUGUGAUAAUAGAGUCUUAAUCAUUGGCAAUUCAAGCUGUACACAUGAAGGUCAGUGCCAUACAUGGUCACAAGAACAUGGCUGGAAUGUACCACCCUGCUUUCAUUUCCAUGCCUAAGGGGCCAAAUGUGGUAGAAAAUAUAAUAUUCAGUGGAACACAUUAGAAUAAACCUAUGCUGUUAAGUCAUGGCUUUUGGGUGAAGCAUGGCUGAGCUUUAGCCCAAUAUUCUGAGUGCUGGGGAGGGGGAAUUCCUGAGCACAUAUUUUCUCUUAUCUUCUGUGGGUGCCAUGAACUAUAAACUCUGGGCAAAUGUGUAGCCAAAAGCAUAAAGAAGCCAAAAAGACAGGCAGAGAGAGCGUGUUGGGGCUUGUCCAGCAGCUGCAAUCCCCUCACCUCACACAUUAACUGAACAUGUGAGGGGAUGCUGUUACAAGCUCUUCUGUCAUCUCCAACCUUAGUUGCAUGCAAGUGCUUAAUUGUGAAAACUAUAGAUAAGUUUUAUCUGCUACAUAAUGCAUGCAAUUAAACUCUGCAAAUCAAUGGCAUUUGUCCUGAUCUUGAUACAUUUGCAGGAAGGAGCCUGGCACAGUCAUGUCAUCCACCCAAGCAUAUAGGCGACACUUAUUGGUCAAAUUAGGCUGAAAUUGAUUUCUAUCUCUAGAUUCAAAUCAGAGAGUAGUAUUCUGAGAGCCGGCGUGGGUGGGAGUAGAUGAGAAAUGAAGGGUUUGACAUUUGACAAGUUUUAAAAUUUUAUUUUGGUUUCAGUUGUGUGUUUAAAUUACUGUAACCAGCUUCGAGCCUCUGGGACUCGUGGGAUAAACAUCCAAAUGACUGAAUAGCAUUCUAAGGAGUCUUCUUAGGGGAUCUUUAUCUGUUUACAGUUUGGCUGUAACAUAAGUGUUUGCAGUUUGUCGUGUACUGAAAUGAGUGGACUGUGACGGAGAUCCCAGGAUCACUAUAGAGAUUUGUGAUAUUUACUUCUCACACUAUAGCAGAAGCAGAGAAAGAACACAUUUUCCUUUCAUUGUGUGGGAUAAACCCACUCUUAGGCUUGCCAGAUUUAAGUGUCGAGCUCAACAAUACUGUGAGCAAUAUUUCAAUUUCAUUGUUCUGCAUGGGACAAUGACAAUAAAGAUAUCGUAUAUCGUAUAUCGUGAGCCCAGGCAAUAUAGGUAAAUGGAUACUGUCAGGUUUACGAUCGGCUAAUACAUGCCAGAUUCAGAUCAAUUUCAGAUUGUAGGUUUAAGGUGUAAUGUUGGAUUGUUCUUUGAUAGGCCGAGGGCUAGAUUCUGUGACUUCAAAGUACAUGAACAGCACAAACCAGGAUAAUUCUACAAUGAUGCCAAGGGGUGUGUGUGUUACAUCUUGGGGAGGGGGAGGGGUGCAGAACCAAAACACCACAUGACAGAAUAAAACUUUGACUCUCUUCUAAGUCAACCAGCAUAUGGUUAUUGAAAGGGCUAUGAAGUGAUUCUGGAAGCUUCCAUGUAUUAUAUAAAUGAAGCUGUUUACAUUUGGACUGAACCAGAAAUUCCCUCAGUGACCUCUAGCAAGUGUCUUGUCCUUACUGUUUCUCAAUCAACACAGCUGGAAAACUCCACAGAGAAAACCCCCACAUUUCAAUGAGAACCAGAUGCCAUUAAAAAGUUCAGAUUUUUCUGAGAAAUACAUUCCAGAAUAUACUCCUAAUGGAAGCAGAGGGGGGGAGCAACUUCCAAGUGGGAUUUAAAUAUGAUUUUACAGUUUCAUGCAUUUAAAUCUGGUGAUAAUGUUUUGAUUUCUAAAGACAGUUGAUUAGAAUAUCAGUUUGGCUUAGUGGUUUCAAUAUAGCUAGAGAUUAAUAUAGCUGAUCUCUCUCUCUCACACACACUUGUGAUUCUUAAUAAUUUUUAGAAUUCAGGGUAUAUGGAUCUUCUUGCCAUAAUAACACGGGAAUCCCCAGUGUGAUCCUUUCCCAUUACCACCAGCAGCAGACUUUGUGUCCCCAAAUUUCAGUGGCGCCCUGUGCAAUGCUAAAAUUGUGCACCAAAAAUUCCUCUCCUGCGGACUCCACCCACAUCAGCUUCUCACGAUGGGCUUUAUUAAAGCAAAAGGGCUAGUUGAACAGCGUCUGAAGGACUUAGAGCAACAGAACAAUCUGGCCAUUAUAAAGAAACUCUGUUCUUGGUAUGCAUCCCCCACCCCAGUUUGAUUUCCUGGCACCAUAUUUGUAUAAAUUAACUAUCCCAAAAUACAGACAUGCCUUCACACUGGCCAGAUUGGAUGUGAUGCCCUCUGCCGUACUUGAGGGCAGAUGCCAAAAGAUUCCAACUGGGAAACGACUGCCCCUGUGGAGAUGGCAAUCUGGAAACAGUGGCUCAUGUUCUCCUGUCCUGUCCCCUUUAUAAAGACCUGAGGAAUGAGAUCAUCACCCCACUCCUACUCACCAUCCCAGGCCACCCAUCUGCAGUUAUAUUGUUCUUUCUGUUAUCAGAUCAAAGUGAUCAGACAACAGCAAAGGUUGCUAGGUUUAUCGAGGGUGCAAUGAGAUUAAGGGCCACUAUCUUGAUCAUUUGAUUGUCCUUUUUAUUCAUUGUUGUCUUUUUAAUUGUAUAUAUUGCUUGUUUUAUGUUGCUAUGGCCGUUGGCUAAGGCAAAUAAAGUUUAUCUAUCUAUCUACAGCACUGUUGUGGUGCCGCCAGCAGCUCAGUGUCUAGUUUUAUCCAAAAACUGCCUCUGCUGCCAACCUUUUUCAUAGAUUGCUUUUAAAACCUCCUAGUAGUAUGACAGUUUUAGGUACACUAUUGACACCUACACUGGAGACAGAAUUAACUGUUAAAUAAGGUUGUUUAUUAAAAUAUUUUGUACUGAAAUACAAGACUGUCUGGACCAAAUAAUUUAACACUUUCUUUGUGCUUUCUCUAUAUUUGAAGUUAAAAUCAAAGCACAGAUAAAUGCAGCUGUAUGAAAGGCAUUUGCAGUGACUGCUAAAUAACCUCUGCAAAUGAUGAGAAGAUGUAAACAGUUGGCCAUCUGCAUCUCCCCGCUCCCCCUUUUUGCACUAAAAAAAGCAAGCUUCUGGAUAAUGGAUGGCUUUCCACAGAUUCUCUCUGAGUGGGAAAAACCUUACAGAUUUAGUAUUUCAGACAAGAGUCUUUGUGUAGAAAAUCUGUGAUAAAAUGCAGCUGUUUAGCUAAAAUAUUUACAGUGUGUCAUCCAUCCCCCCCCAAAAGACUGCAAACUACAUAUGUCAUCCUGUGCAUGUUUACUCAGAAGCUAGUCCCAUUGUAUUCAAUGGGUUGGCUCAUCAGGAAGUGACCUUUGGAUUGGAGCUUUAAUCAACUUAAUUGGUUCAUGGAUCAACAAAUCUUUAAUCACAACAGACUGAAAACCCUCUCCACUUUAUUGGUGGUACCAAGAUUGGAGGGUACACAACCAUGUAGACAUCCUUGCUUCUUCUGUUGUGUGUCAUGCAGAAUGGAAAAAAAUAAAAUUAAAGAUGGCUUUUCUUUCUAAUUCAUAUCUAUCCAAAGCUAGCAGGGACAAACACAAAAGUAAUGAUGUCUACUGAUACGAACGGGAAAUACCAAAGCUGUAUCACCUAUGUAGAAUCAAAUACAUGUACGGGUGGACUGCUCCAGUCUACUUUGAAUGGGGGCAAGGUGGAAGCAGGUUAAUAGUUAAAUGAUGCUCAAAUGUGGACAUCAUUUAAACAUUCACGAUGCUUUGUACAAGUAAUAAGAGCACUGAAUCACAAUGCAUACAUUGCCUUAGAGAUCUGUGCAAUGGACCUGUUUGCUAGGCCUGCGUUACCAUCCUUGCUCUUCUACUGAUGGGAGACAGAGGGACAGUGGGUUGUUUUGAGUUGUGGCCAUCUGGCAAGAACAUUCAUGAGCUGAGAUUUCAAAUGGGGACAAUUUCAACUGGCUCCACACCAGUUCUUAGAAAACAAGUGAGUGACUCAGGGAAAACUGUACUAAGCAUUUAGAGGUGUCUUGGGGAAACAAUGUUAUUCUUUCAAAAUAUGCUUUUUGUCCCACUAAAAAUAAUGAGAUGCCUUGCUUUGGAUAAAAUAAUUAACUUUAUGCAUUUGUUCCAGACGGGGAAUUUGCCAUUUUGGCAUAAUAAAAUAGCUUUUGGCAUUGGCCUGAGCAUUUCCUGUCUUUGGAUAGAGAGGCAGGGGAGAUGAUUUCAAGGGAGGUUAUAGUCUUUUAAAUUCAGUGAGAUUCAGUCAAGAUUGCACUUGGCCUUGUGCAUUUGGCCUUUAUCUGGUUUUAUGAAGGUAUCAUAUUUUAUUCAGCUCCAUAUCACUGAAAUAGGAUUAUGCAAGCAUAAAAGGAACAGGAAGCCCUUUCUUAUUUCUAAUGUACCUGGUAGAAAGAACAAAAAGAUGAAAGUAAUAACAGCUAAUGCAAUUUUCUCUUACAGCCUUAAUGCAAAUGCUCUUUUAGAUGUUGCUUAUCAUACACAGGCAGUGAAAGAGUACAGAAAGCAGGGUGCACAGCUGUUCUCUUCAGUUCCUCUGUUAUGACAUGCUCUUAUGCUCAGAUCACAAGACAAUUGAUGUGAAGGCACUUUUAAUUAUCCCUCCUCCAGCCAUGUGAAUGUGGAAGAGGAGUGAAGGAUGCUAUGAUACACUGAAUGUGCAACACCAAAGACUAAAUUAAUAGGAACUUCGGCAGUUGUCAACCAUUAUAUCUAAAUGAGAACCCUCAUUUUUAGUGGCACUAUGUGCCUCAUUACAAAAUGCUAGGGACAAAAGAACAAGAGAGGACUAUAUCAUUUUCCCCACUGAUCUUUUUAGGGGUGUGUGGCUACCUGCUCUCAGAAAAAAAAUGUUGGAUGACUAGCUGGAGCCUUAGUCUUAACAACAACAACAACAACAACAACAACAACAACAACAACAAUUUAUUUUUUUGUACCCCGCCCAUCUGACUGGGUUGCUCCAGCCACUCUGGGUGGCUUCCACCAGGGUAUACAAAAACACCACCACCAGAACAACAGAAUAAAAUACCACACAUUAAAAACUUCCUGAUACAGGGCUUCCUUCAGAUGUCUACAGAAGGUUGUGAAAUUUUUUAUCUCUUUGACAUCUGAUGGGAGGUUGUUCCAUCGGGCGGGUGCAACUACCAAGAAGGUCUACUGCCUGGUUCCCUGUAAUUUUACUUGUCACAAUGAGGGAACUACCAGAAGGCCCUGGGAGCUAGACCUGGACUGAACAAUGGGGACAGAGAUGCUCCUUCAGGUAUACAGGGCCUUUAAGGCAUUCCUAUUUUCUAAAGAGCAUAGUGAGUAAAUGUCAAUGAAAUGGGGCUAAAUUCACUGCUAGCUCAACUCUCGGUUGAAAUAAAUUCUCUUAUUUAUUUAUUUAUUUAUUUGCCAUCUGUUCGUUUAAAUUUUACCCAGCAUUAUUCCUAGAGAUCCAGAUGAAUGACAUUAUUUUAUAUUAAGCAUGGUCUGAUAGUCUACUGCGCAUAACCUGAUGUAUUAUGUGCAGCUUGUUGGGUGCACAUAGUGCAGGUCUAACCUAGAGAAAUUCCUCUCCCCUAAAGCAAAUGAUCAUAUAUUUGAAGGAUCCUCAACAGUAAGAUAUACUCUUCACAUGACAGAUAGUAACCAAUACACUUUAUUUAGAACAAACUCAAACACACAUUAGGCAUGAGAAAAGCUUGACAGAAAUCUUAUGUUCUCAGCUGCCUCAAGGCCUGGACUGGAAAUCCUCCAGACUCUGGUGAACUGGAACACAUAAAAUGCAGACUGGAUUUCCUCCACAUUACAGAUUUGAUCCAUGAUUUUUUUAACACUUCCAAAUAUGAAGAUUCUACAACAUCUCUAGGCACUUAUUCUCUUUACUUAGUGACUUUUCCUUUGGCUUUAACAUGUCUAAGAGCUUAUCCACACUUCCUCUUGUCCCACUGCUUCCCCCUUGGGGAAAACUGCUCUUUAGCACUCAGUUGGAGCAAACAACAAUUCAGGUUUCCCUCCAGAUUGCCGUUUCUUCUGAUCUAUCACUAAAUAGUGGGUUUUCCCUUGAAAAGGAAUGGGGCAAGGGGAAACCGCUCUGAGCCAUGCUUUCUAGGCACUGCACACACGGAAGUGUGAGUGCAUAAAGUUGACCUGAUGACUUGUUCUCUCCUGGAAGUUUAGGGUCCAUAAUUGCACAGGAGCCUACUCAAGUCCAGCAAGCUUCCCACUUUAGAUAUUCAGUCCCCAACAUGGAUGCUGCUGCUGCAGGAAUGGCAAUGGGGACAUUCAGAAAGGAGAAAGGACAGUUAACUCUCCCACACUCUCCCCUUCACAUGAUGGUAAUAACAUUGCUUUCUGCACAUACCUGCAAACGUGUUUGCCAUCAUCACACAAUACAUUUUUAGGUGUUGGCUUAGAUUUAUCAUGUGACAUUUAUUGUUGUUGUUUAGUCAUUUAGUUGUGUCCGACUCUUUGUGACCCCAUGGACCAGAGCACGCCAGGCACUCCUGUCUUCCACGGCCUCCCGCAGUUUGGUCAAACUCAUGUUUGUAGCUUCGAGAACACUGUCCAACCAUCUCGUCCUCUGUCGUCCCCUUCUCCUUGUUCCCUCAAUCUUUCCCAACAUUAGGGUCUUUUCCAGGGAGUCUUCUCUUCUCAUGAGGUGGCCAAAGUAUUGGAGCCUCCUUCCAGUGAGCACUCAGGGCUGAUUUCCUUAAGAAUGGAUAGGUUUGAUCUUCUUGCAGUCCAUGGGACUCUCAAGAGUCUCCUCCUGCAGCAUAAUUCAAAAGCAUCAAUUCUUCGGCGAUCAGCCUUCUUUAUGGUCCAGCUCUCACUUCCAUACAUCACUACUGGGAAAACCAUGGUUUUAACUAUACGGACCUUUGUUGGCAAGGUGAUGUCUCUGCUUUUUAAGAUGCUGUCUAGGUUUGUCAUCGCCUUUCUCCCAAGGAGCAGGCGUCUUUUAAUUUUGUGAUGGCUGUCACCAUCUGCAGUGAUCAUGGAGCCCAAGAAAGUAAAAUCUCUCACUGCCUCCAUUUCUUCCCCUUCUGUUUGCCAGGAGGUGAUGGGCCCAGUGGCCAUGAUCUUCAUUUUUUUGAUGUUGAGCUUCAGACCAUAUUUUGCACUCUCCUCUUUCACCCUCAUUAAAAGGUUCUUUAAUUCUUCCUCACCUUCUGCCAUCAAGGUUGUGUCAUCUGCUUAUCUGAGGUUGUUGAUAUUUCUUCCGGCAAUCUUAAUUCUGGCUUGGGAUUCAUCCAGCCCAGCCCUUCGCAUGAUGAAUUCUGCAUAUAAGUUAAAUAAGCAGGGGGACAAUAUACAGCCUUGCCGUACUCCUUUCCCAAUUUUGAACCAGUCAGUUGUUCCAUAUCCAGUUCUAACUGUAGCUUCUUGUCCCACAUAGAGAUUUCUCAGGAGACAGAUGAGGUGAUCAGGCACUCCCAUUUCUUUAAGAACUUGCCAUAGUGACAUUUAUAUAUAUGUGCAGAAUCUGUAACAGGGAAUGGUAGUGAGUUCUGUCCAACUGGAUGUUGCUAUUAAUGUACACUGCACAAGAAGGAAGUAAGGUAGAUUUCUUUGUUGGCCACACCUUUUUAUGAUUAAAUGGGCUCCGACUCAGCCUGAUAAACAUAACAAAUCUUCUCCUGCUAAGAAAACAUUCACUUAGAAGGCUGUAAAAAUGCAAGGUUGUUAGUUCUCCUUGUUUAAUGUCAUUGUUUCUUUGAAACUACAUGAGAACAUAUUUUGUUGAUAGGUUAUAAACAAGAGAAAAAUAGCUCCAUUUAGACUGGAGCUAUUAGAUUUAUAACAGCUGUAAAGCAUUAAAGCACAUCUCAAUGUGUGCAUAAUAGGAGCAUUUAUUUUGCAGAUGGUAAGAAGAUGAACUUCAGGACCAAGAUCUUGGCACCCACAGUCAUUGUGAAGAGUAUAUAAAGCAGUGAUGGAAGUUUUUGGCUUUUUUGCCAUACAUCUGAAUAAUUUAAUUAAGUAAUGCUACUGAGAUUUGGGACAUCAGUAAAGGGUGGUAUUUAGCUUUUAUAUGUGUGCCAUUAUUUCAGUAUCCCAGACUAAGAAUGUAGUGAUGAAAUAAUACCUUGUGGAUAUACUUACUCACUAUUAUAUAUUCACUGAACUAUUAAUCACAGACUUCAACUUCUGUCUUCUUUUAUUUAUAAUAAUUUGUUGCAGCUGGCAUUGCUAUAGCUCAUGAACAAUAGGAUAUAUUAGCAAUGAUUAACUCCUGUGUGGCCAUUCAGUAGCAAGUUGGUCAGCUCAGGUAAUGAACAAUUUCACUGGAAGAAUUAAUCCUUGUCAAACUGUAUGUGUGGGACUUUUCAAUCUUGAUUGAAUUGGGUUUUGGAACAACAACUGGGCUUGUCCAGGCAUUCCUGUGCAGCACCCAUUCAUUUUAAUGGGGUUUCUGCAUGUAAACUUCACUUCAUUGUGUCCUGGGUCAUCUUUGUGUAUCUUCCACUCUGGUUAAUGACACCAAAAUUCUGCCAUUGGUGACUUUAACUUCUGCAUCCCAGGAGACAAUGAUACAUGUACAGUGAGUUAAGUAGAUUACAAUUAUCCUUCUCUUCAAACCACUCAUUGCCAAACUGUGCCACUGACUCCUACUCCUUGCUGCAAAUUGGCCUUCCACAGCCUCCUCUAGCCCUCUUUGCCUGGGACUUUCUCCCUUCCCCAGCCUCAUCCCCUCUUCCGAGGCCACAACACUCACCAGCUCUGUUUCACGCCCUCCUUGGAAGUUUAUUUUGCCUGGCUGGAAUGUGUAUUUGCACACUGAUAAUGCUUCCUACAUGCCUAGAUAGAGGAUAGACAUGGGUGUGUGGGUACAUGUAAAGUUAGUCUACUGUGCAAAGGUAAAUUUCACAUUCAUUGCCCUGCCCACUGUUGCCACUGGCAUGUGACCUCUUCAAGACUGUCCAGAAGUGAAUGUUGCCCUCAGGCUGAAAGAGAUUCCUAACCCUUGAUACAGGCCCUCAUAUUGUGUCUAUAUGCAUUCUUCUCCUUGAUUAAUAAUUUCAGGAAGGAAAUAGUCACAACAGUGAAUAAUUUGCACAGGGGGGGGUAUCAUUUUGAGAGGAGAAAUAUAUUUCAGAAGAUGUAAUAUUGUAUUAGUUUCAUUAAUUUUUAGGGGUUGAUUAUACCCCAUCACUGGGGGCAGGCGAAUGGAAUUCCCAGAGCAGCUUACAAAAUUUCAAAACACAAUAAAACAAGUAAAAAGCAUACAAAAAAUUUGCCAAAACUGAGAAAUCCGCUUCCCUGCAACCACAUGCCAAAGCUCUGGUGUCAGUGGAUCCUGGAAGAGGGCCACAGAUGAAGAUUUUAGCACAACAACAGACACAUGUAGAGACAGGCCUUUAAGGAUCUCCUAUGUAAAUAGUUUGGCUCUUAUGCUGAGGCCCCUUAAGAGACUAACCAGUCUAUGAUGGCAGGAAUUCCAAAAUUAUUCUGUUCUGUUUAUAGAAUUAACCAAAGUAAAUUAAGAUAAAUGGUGUAUUUGGAUUAAAGAUAAAGGCUUCAUAUUGUCUGAGGGCAAGUGUAUUGAUGGAAGAAUGAGCAUACCAUGUAGACUCAUAGACGCCCUGAAACAAGGGGCUAAUUCAUUCUAAGAACAUGAGGGAACCAGGCUCAAAAGAUGUGGGAAAGAGGUAUCUGUUGUGCUGUCCUGGGCAAGGAAAAUAAGUGCAGCUUUUGGGAUAUAGAGCGGAGUCUCAGUUUUCACUUGGCUCAAGGUGUGUGUGAGAGAGUUUAAGAAAUUCUACUACAUUCUAAACAGUUCUAGACUCCACCCUCUUGCUUUCUCAAGUGAUUUCUUUCUGGAGUUGCUCCUAUCUAGUCAGCUGCUAACAUUCAAAAGAACUGUCUUUGGUGUUCUCAUGUCAUCAGGCAAGUAGAGGUGAUAAUGAUGGAUACCCUGAAGUUUUGAGUUUUCAGGUUGUUUAAAAAAAGAGUUAUACAUACCUCAUGAGUUGUACAUUUUGAUUGCUUUAAUUAGCCGACAAUGUUGCAUUUUGUCAAAUGUCUUAAAUGUUUGACUUCUGGGUUUGUGGCGUUCAGGAGCCUAUUUGUUUGACAACUAAGCCUUUCAAGAACCAAAAUAUCUCUCUCUCUCGCUCUUUGUGUGGGUGGGUGGGUGGGUGUAAAAACAUUUAUACAUACAGCCAUACAAUAAAAGCCAUAUACAAAAUUGAAAUCAGCUAUUAUGGAAAACUGUGUUCUUAAUUACCUGUAUAAGCCUGAAGGGAUCAAAGAGUUUUCAGCAGGCGCAUAAAAGUUGAAACAGAAGGCGCCUUUGAAGCCGUGUUACGUAAAUCACAAAAAAUAGAUUGGAACAUUAUUGAUAUGUAGAAUGGGUUUGUAUCCUGCCACUUCCAGUGACUGUCUCUCAGAACUGCUGACAAGUACUUUUUAUUUAAAAAAUAAAAAUCAUAAAAUACCCAUACUGUCUAUAUAAGAACAACAUAAAGCACAGCACAAACUACUGCCAGCAAAACAAAAAUAGUCAGGUUAAAAUGAUUUAUUGAACCAAAAAUAUAAAAAGCCUGAGUAAAAUUGGAAAAGGUAUUUGCCCCCCCCUCACUGAAGUUGGUGCCGGAGAGUGCAUUCCAAAGUUUGGGGCCACCACCAAGAAAGCAUUGUUUUGGAUUGCCGCCCACCCACCUCAACUCUGAGGCAGGGCCCCUGAGGCAGAUCUGUGUAGUGAAGCAGGUUUUUGAUGAAACAGGUGGUAAUUUUGUGUGCCAUGUCCAGUACUUUUUUUAUGGGGGUAUGAGGGUACUCAAGAGUAUGCAGUACCAGCACCUUUCUUUCUGGAAGAAAAGCACUGGCAAUAUCCAUUUCACACUUCUUUGCAAUCCAUUAGUAAUUGUGCAGGGCAACAGCGAAAGCUCAUAGUGCUGAAUAAAAGCACCAUUAACUUUUCAUAAAUUCACUGGUGUGCAUUGUGAUGAAGGAAAUAUUAGCUGAUAUGGCUGAUCAAUAUCUCUAGAUUGCAAUCUUGCCUGAAUUCAGUGUAGCUUGGGUUGGGUGUCUAGCUGAAAGAAGAACUGCAGCCUUACUACAAGAGAAAAAAAAUAUUUUCUUUUAAAAAUACUUCUGUCUUUAUGAUCACUUGUCUAUAUACUGUGUUACACUGUUGUUCUAGGAAUUUCUACCUGUGGAGCACAUGAAAGGAAUUUUUUUUGGGGGGGGGGAGGGGGGAGAUUGCAAAACAAGCCACUUAAUUUUUUUAAAAAACCUGCCCUAUACCUGUUGAAUUUGUCUGCAAAUUCAACAUAUUAAAUUCAUCGUUGAGACUAGUGAAAGACUGCAGCUCUGUGAUAGAAUGUCUACCUUGCAUGCAGAAGGUCUCAGGUUCAAUCCGUAGCAUCGCCAGGUAAGACUGGGAAAUACUUCAGCCUGAAACCCUGGAAUGUUUCUGCCUGUCGGUUCAGACAUUACUGAGGUAGAUGGUGUGACUCUGCAUAAGGCAGCUUUUUAUGAUCCUAAGACUAUAGAAAGGAAGCAUUUUAAAGUAUGAUAAUGAGUCUAUUAUCAACUUCUAACUUUAAAAGUAUUUAUACACUUCUUAACAAAGGAGUGUUCUGGGUUUCAGUUAGCGAAAUGUAUGAAAAAAGCAAUCAGUUAAUAACUUAAGUUAUGACAGAUUGAGUAAAAAAAGUGGGCAGUGUAAUUUUCCUGUAUUUACCAGAUGGCCAUGUUCCUGAUGCUGGCAGAUAGGUUGGAUUUUCUCUCUCUUUUUCAAAUCCUCUAUUUAUAUAGUUCCAAACAAAACACACAAAGUUGAUAAUUCAAUAGGAAUGUGAAUUUAUGUUCAGAAAGGGAACCAAAGAGCAUCAUACCAGUUUGCUUACCCCAGAAUUAGUUUUGCCCUCCCAAAUAGGUGUGUGUAGUGCAACAUGCCUACUCAGAAGUAAGACUCAUUUAGUUCAGUAGGACUACCUACAUUCCACCAAAAUGUAUAUAGGAUUGCAGCCAAAGUUGCUCUAGGGGAUCUUCCAGGGCAGGUUGGCAGGGUAAAUGUUUUAAAUGCAAACUACUGUGAAGAACAUCCAAGAAGCAGCACUGGAGAGCCAAAGAAAGAAACAUGGGAUGCAAGGUAAAAGGAACAUGGAAGGAAUAUGAUUUUACCCCCAUAAGAGUAGGCAGCUUUGUACAUUUAUUAUUGCUCCUCUUUCCCGCAGAAUUUUUCCAGGAACACGUUGAUAAUAGGUGCUGGAUUAUCAUCUUUUACUAAAUCGAUUGCUUGCCAAUAAUCAGUUGAUGUUCCCCGAAGAAUGGGAGCUUGUAACUGGAAAUUCACUUGUGCUACCACCCCCAGCUUUUGGAACGUACUGCUCUUCAUUUAGCGGGAGGGACAACUUUCAAAGAUUGCUUAGCAAUUUGCUCAGUUUUUUGGGGGGGCACACCCCAGAAUUCAUUGGCCACAACCAAGUGGUGGUUAAGAGGUUUCUGGGUAUAUUCAAGGAAGUACAAUAAAUUACUGCAGGAGACUGGACCCAUAUUAAAUAACAUCUAUCUUCCUACCUACCUACAGCUAUGCAACUUUGGCUCAUAUUAUCUUUUCAUCCUGCCUUACAGCAGAUUUCAAUAGUAAAUCACAUAAUGAUCACAGCAUAAAAAGAGUUCUUAAAGUUGUAGAAAAUGUGCCUUACAUCAAACCACUUUGUGACACAUUUCAGACUCCAGCACUGGAAGAAAAUGAGGAUGACACACUUCGUCAAUGUUUAGUCCCAUCUGCUAGUCCUCCUACUCUACUUCACAAAACUGUAGCAAUUUCAUAUGCCCCACGGAUAGACCACUGUCACGAAUCUUACAGAACUAGCCAUCGUGAUCUAAGUUAUUUGAAGGAUAUGACGCAGGGGUAGGCAACCUAAGGCCCAUGGGCCACAAGUGGCCCACGGAGUCGUUUAACUAGCCCACGAGCUGCCCCCAAAUCAAGCCACCCACUCGGAGAGUCCCUGCAUGCUGUGCUAAAGUGGCGCAGCACGGCACGGGUACUUGUUUCCGUGGUGCCAGAAAUCGCAACUUUGCAGAUGCAGAUGCCGGAAAUUGUGGUCGCAUGAGCUCAUGCAUGUGAGCGAUCUGGCCCAUGGAGGGAUCUCCCCUGGAGUGAACCGGCCCAGGCAAGGUAAACCUUGCUGACCCCUGAUAUAUUGUAAAAGAAAGAUGCCUUUAUAGACUAAUAGUCCCUUCUCCCUCUCUUUUAUUUGUCCAGUACUGUUGAACAUAGUAGUUGAGGCGAACUCACUUCCGUUCACUGCAUGAAUUGAAGACUUUGUUAAAGUAGAUAAUUAAAGUAGUGAAAUAAAUAAAGUAGAUAGAUAGAUACAGUGGUACCUCAGGUUAAGAACGUAAUUUGUUCUGGAGGUCCAUUCUUAACCUGAAACUGUUCUUAACCUGAGGUACCACUUUAGCUAAUGGGACCUGCCGCUGCGCCACCGCCACACGAUUUGUUCUCAUCCUGAAGCAAAGUUCUUAACCCAAGGUACUAUUUCUGGGUUAGGGGAGUCUGUAACCUGAAGCAUCUGUAACCUGAAGCAUCUGUAACCCGUGGUACCACUGUAGAUGGAUAGAUGAUGGAUGUCUCCCAGAUCUAGUUACAUAGUUAGCCCAACACACACAUGAGAAAACAUGCUCAAGCUACUGCAUGAGUGCGCUUCUCCAAUCAAGUCACAGUAACAUUUUUCAUUGAAGUCAAAGGGGAACACCUUUCAUCAGAUCUCCUGUGGGUACAAGGUUCCAUACUAGGUCAUGCAGGGCAGUACCAGGGACAGCUCCCAGUGCAAAUUCCAGGAAGCAAUGAAUGUUGCUUCCUGAUUUUUCUGAGCUAGUUGAAUAGUGAUGCAACUCCUGCUGGUUCCCCUAGCUCUCCCCAAGACUUUAAAGUGGCAAAACUCUGACUUGGAGAUUGGCCCUCAAAUGUCUCCUGCUGCACCCUCUGACUUCUUUGUCAGCAGCUUUUAGGGGUGUGAUUCCGUUUUAUACAUCAUAAACUACUGUUCCUUUGUAACUUCUGCACAUGUCAUGGAGUACAUCUGACUGCACCUUAUCUAAGACUACAAUUCCUUAAGGUUAUUAUAAUGAAUCACCACAUUUAGAUUCUUUAAGAUGUAACAGGACAUGGAACUCAGAAUCUGACUGUGCAAUUGAGUCUUCACAUUAGAAUAAGGUAUUGAGAGAAAUUCUGUACUGACUGGUGCAAAAUUCUUGCAUGUAUCUAUUGCUUCCUCCACAGCUCUUUUUAAAGCUAUUUUCCCCCUCUACUAGUUCAAAUUGAUUUCACUCAGAUAUUAUGAGGAAAAUUUGAUCAGAAGUGGCUAAGGAAAUUAACUGAUUUCAUCUUAAAAACCCCUUUUUGCAAUUAAUUUGGAAAUAGCAAAUGUAAUAAUUGGCACAGAUCCUUAUCUCCCCAUCUCUCCCAAUUGACAUUUUGCUUUGAAGCACCAAUGGUCUGGACUACAAAGUGCAGUGUUGGGCUGUUUGAAAGCCCUUUUGCAAACACCCCAACACUGGUCUUUAAACCUCCAGUUUUGAGGCCCACACUGCUCUUUGAAUCCUCUGAAAACCCAUGGUUUAGAGAGCAGCACAGAGAUGUUUAUAAAAGGGCUUUCAAAUAGCCCUACACUAAACUUCGGCUGUGUGCAGUCAAACCAAGCAGAAUUUAGCCACCACCCAUUGAUUAUUAAACAUAUACAGUAAACAGUCUUAAGUCUGAAAGAUACAUGACUGCUGCUUCUGAUCAAUCACCAGCAGGCUUUAAGGAAUGUUCAAGAGCAAUGCCCACCUGAACAAUGUUUCCUUUUAUUUGUACUGACAUUUCAGAGUACAAAUUCUCCUUCAUAAUGUAACUUAAACCAUAUCUUUUUAAUGCAAUAUGAUUGUGUGUAAUCAUAAUGCCCUGACUUUGACAUAAAAAACAUAGCAAGCAUUCUUCUUUUUCAUGACUUUCUACAAUCCAUAUAGCUCGUAACAGGCUCAGCCCUCUGCUUUUAAUUACAGAAUGGUCUGCAUGUUCUUCUUUUGGCACAAAUUAUAAUCUGUUUUAUGUCAUAAUUUAGCUUGUAUAAACCACUGUGCAUUUUCAACUUAUUUUUGUUACUUUAAAAUAAACCAAGCACACUGUACAUAUUAUUAUUAUUUUUGGACAAGGUGUCUGGUUUUCUCACUGUUUACAUUAAAUAAUCUAAUGUGCUUUUUAUUUUAUUUUAAUCCAGUGCUUUUUUAAAAAAAAUAAAAUAUAAGGGAAAUGUCUUCACUUUUUAAAAACUCAUCAUUUCCCAAGAAACAAGGAGGAUCCUUAAACCCCUGCUGAAAUCUUUGUAUUUCAUUACACAAACAAACACUUUAGUCUAUGGUGGUAUGUUCAGUGUUAAGAAUGGUUGCCCUGGGUCAUAGAGCUUUGAAAUAUAGAGUGAACAGCACGGAGGCCAUCUUCCAAUGUUAGGUUUAGCCCUCAAGUCAACUGGGGCUGGGAGUGAUAUUCUUCUCUCGUUCUUAUCACAGAGCCCUGAGAAGAAUUUAUGCCACUAGUUUGUGGUGAUGAUCUCCUGACAACUCAGCAGAGAGAGGCCUACUCUCAGUGCAUAAUAAUCAUGGGGCACUUGAGUCUAACAAGCUGUAUCGGAAGGAACUUUGCCAGUUGCCAGAAUCACAGCCAGCCAGUUGUAAAGUAUGUCUCACGGUUGAGGUCCAACCUUGCAUCUGCUACAUUUCAUUUUCACGAAGUUCAUUUCACAAGCUGUGAAGUUAGCUAGCCAGGCAGGGUUGGAGAGCAAAGGACUGCAAGAAGUCAGCUGUUUAAUUAAGUUGAAUUGCUCCAAUUAAUCAGAGGCACUUUCCCUGAGCAAUCAAAAUCUUUGUAAGCAAGGUGGUACUCUAUAUUGUACACAGUAGGAUGAGCUUAGCUAUAAUAACACACCAGAAUGAUCAAGCAGCAGUUGAUCAAGUGGCACAAGGGUGCCUCGGACGUCACUGCUGGAAGGACUGUUUGGCUAGCUUUCCCUGGCACUGACAUGGCCUACUAACUUCAACAAAGGCAGGCAGCCAGGAACUGCUGACUUGCAUGGUACUAACCAAAGAGCCCCCUGCCUCCAUUGCCACCCCCCUGUGGUACCAGUAAGGGUAGGGUUUUCUCAAUCAUUCUGCAGCAGUGAUAGGUGGUUUCCACUAAUGGUUUCUACUAGUGGGGCCCUGUCAUUGGCUGCUGGAUCAUUUACCUCAAAGGCUGCAUUUGCAUGUCACAGUAAGCCAUGGCUAGUGGCUGAUCAGGAAAAUGCAGAGUAUUCCUCCUUGCUAGUAAAUGGAAGCAACAGUGAUCCUUGGGUUUUGCUGCAAGGGCAUUAGAAAAGGAAUGAAAUGUUAAACUUUUGGGUAAAGAAGAUAAGAUGGUCUUUUUUGGAAAAAAAAAUAUGGAAAUUGAAAAGGAGAAGGCAAUAAAAUUUGCUCAGGAAGCAGAAGAAUCUGUAAAAAUUGCAAACAGGGACAAGCUCCAUUCAAGCUUCAUCCAUGAUUUGUUGUACUACAAACCAUGAUCAGCAAGUCAAUGCUUGUUCUUGACUUACAAAUCAUGGUUUGUUUGAGUGAAACAAACCAUAAUUCCAGAUUGGGGCAGAAUGCCAUGCCAAGAAACAUGAUUUGUUGUUUCUGUCUACUAGUGGGAAGAAGCAAAUUGAGAGAUAUGUACAUAUAUGUUCACAGUAAGCUAUUGACUGUGGCUUAAUGUGAUGUGUAAAAGCAAAGUAAAAGAAGGCAGAUUUCAUCUCUGAGGGUGGGGUACUAGAAUGAAUUGCUUUGCACAGUUAAAAAGAGGACACAGUAAUAAAUAAAUCAAAAUAUUUCUUUUUUAUAGUUUAAUUUAUAAGUCUCUGGGGCCAGGGUUUACAUUUUUUAUAGAAACAUGUUCUAGUUUUAAUAGUAAAUGUCGGAACUGAGGAGCCUUUUGCCUUUAGCUAUAAAGCAAAAGAAUUUGUGCUUUUUUUGUAGGUACAGUACAAACUGAUCUCAGAGUCUACAGCCAUUCCACAAUAGGAUGAAUGAACUCAAGGACAUGCUUUCUUAGGGGGUCUCAUAAAGGGCAGUUUUCCAUGCUGUUAACAUCUUACUUUAGCUCAGGAAGGGAUCCUUUGGCUUUAAUACGGGCACGGAACAGUGUUUUUUGUCUGUCAAGUAUAGAGCAUCAUGCAAGAGUGAUAAAAAUGGCAUGCACAGAAAUUAGUUCCUUUUUAAAAGCUGGCUUGCCUUGUUUUCCUUUGCACAUAAUCCUAGUAGCAUCUGCCUUGCUCAUGUUUCCACUGUGGACCUCAGUGCUUGAACAAUCUUGCCACCCCCAAAACUAGAUCAAUGUAGCCCAGAAAAGGUAUGGCAUGAAGAUCCAAGUGUGCCCUAGCUCUUACCCAGGGAAGGGCUACAGCUCAGUUGUAGUGCAAAUUAUUUUCAUGCAAAAAGAUCCAUGUUCAGUCCCUGGCAUAUCCAGGUAGGGCUGGAAAAAACCUUUGUCCGCAGCCCUGGGGACUCACUGUGAACAUUGUAUAGAUAAUACUGUGCUACAUGGGCCAUGCUGUGAAUUGGUAUUAGGACAGUCAGCUUCCUAUGCUUCACCUCUUCAAUGAAGGUCAAGAUUUCGCAUAAUAAAACCAGGGCAUGGAGCAUAAACAGUGAUGGAUCGUGGGAUGUAUGUGACCUCUUCUCUCACAAAUAUCUGCAGUAGAUUGUAUGGAAAAACUGUUGCUCUGGAGGAUUAGUGUGUGGCUACUGGAGUGUUGAUGUCUCAGUAUAUGGGAAUUUUUAUUAGCUGCUGAGAACCUAUACUUGUCCUGAUGUUUAUGGCUGCUGAUGAUUUUGGAAAUAAUCCCUAUUGGGAAUCUGACUGGAAAUGCACUAAACUGACCCUCCAUAGUGGUUUUGGGGAGCUACAGGGGGUGUGCUGAGUAGAAGAUGUGGGUGGGGCGCCCUGUAGGCUUCCACUAGCACACAGAGUCCGUUGAACCUUGGGUUUUUUAAAAUGCUUUUGUCCCAAACUGACUUAAUGCAGGAUGGAAUUUUUGUUCACAGAUAAGAGUAGUCUUGUAAAAAUUUAAUGGUGAUGCGGUCAGGAAUUAAAGGUUUGCUUUCAACAAAUCAAUAACAUUCUGAUGGCUUUAUCUAUGGUUUGAUAAUCCUGACCAAACAUAGGUCUCUGUCUAUACCAGGGAUGGCCAAUAUUAUACCCUCCAGAUGUUGUUAGAGUAGAACUACCAUCAUCGCUGGCCUUGCUAGUUGGAGUCAGUGUGAGAUGAAAUUCACAGCAUCUGAAAGUCGCCACAAUGGCUUCCCCUGAUAUAUAUUGUGUAUCACUGACUGUCACUUAGUUUAAGGUCGAAAUGAGCCUGAUAUGUAAAAUAUUGUAAGCAGAUAUUUUACCCCUGUAAAACCUCUGUAGGGUUUACCAUACCAGUAUUUUCCAUUCUUGGAAAUGUCAGGCUAUUAGAGCUGGUUUUCUUCAUUUAUGGUGGAGCUGCACAAAAUAUUGGAAGACCAUUUUGGAAGCAAUUCAGCUGAUUUUUGGCUAUACUGUACAAGAACUCAACACAUUGACACUUUAAACAGUCAAGGCUUCCUCCAAAUAAUCCUGGGAACUGCAGUUUGCUAAGAGGGUGUUAGGAGAACCCUAUUCCUCUCACAAAGCCACAAUUCCCAGCAACCAAUACCUCUUACCAGAGAACUCUGGGAACUGUAGCUCUGGGAUGGGAAUAGGGGUUUCCUAACACCUCUCAGUAGUGCCCUUAGCAAACUACAAGUCCCAGGAUUCUUUGGGAGAAGAAUCCUAGCAUGAUUUAUACUGGCAUGAUUCUGCUUCAAAUGUAUAGCGCAGAUGGGACUUUGCCAACCAACCUAGUCCCCUCUAACCAUGCUGACUGGAGCUGAUGGAAGCUGUAGUCCAAACUAUCUGAAGGGUUUGGGUUGGCAAAGGCUAUUAUAAGGUUGCCCUCUCCUUCUCUUGAAUAUACACGCAUUUAUUGCACAUGCGCAUUUAGUUCCCCUUGUCAUGAGGUUUCUCUAUUAUGGAAGAGCAACUUCUCUGUUAGUGCCAGUGCUUGUUUGCAUCUUUCAUUUUUGUCCUUUGGUGGUACAACUAUUAUGUCUGCUUCUUUACCAAGUUUGUUUUUGCUCCUGCUUACCUGAUCUGGAUAAACCUCUGAAAGUUGGUUUCCUACAGAGGGAAAAGUAAUAGUGGCCCAGGCGACCUAGUUAAAAAUCUGCUUAUACAAAAAAACUCCACCCAUGUUGAGAAUGAACGGUAGGGGGGAACAGCAAACAAAGGCAUUGCUAGUCCCCAGGCAAAAAUCAAGGCCCCAAAGUCCAAUGAACUUAGAACAUUGCAGGCUGCUUCUGCCAAGCAUGGGACUCUGAACAGAGCAAGCUACUUCCUUCCAGCACUCAGCACAGCCAGUUCCAAGCUAUAUCCUUUAUUCCCAGCCUCUCUGUCUGAUUUCUAUGUAAACCGUAUUCAUUCCAUAUGGCUGCCCAGUAGUCCCUAGGAGGCUUCCUUGCAUCGGAGAAAUUGGCACACGAUCAACUUAAAUUUCCCCAGCACUACUUCUUCGCAAUCAGUGGGUCAUGAUUCUGUGAUCUAGUGAAUCCCUUUUUUGUUGUGAGAGCUUGAGUGAGCACAGAGGGCCCAUUCACCAGCAAGGGAUUCACAUUCACUGGAACGGAGGAGGCUGCUCUGGGUAUGCUCAAAGACGAUUCCCCAUUCAGCUCAAUUAGGCAUGCUCCCUUGGACUGGGCACAUCCUGUAUGCGCAUCAGGGCACACACAGAAAGCUCUGGAUCAGGUGUGCAUUGUUCUAGCCUAGGAAGCUGCCACAGCAGGUUUAAUUGCCAAUCUAGCUCAGUACCAUCUUCUCUGAGGCUACUUCCACCCAGCCAUUUACUGUGGAAUAGCAACGCCUGCUUUGGUUUGCCCACUUUUUACGAAGCAACUUUAUGGUGUCAUGAACAAGCCAUCUGCCAGCUUUUUUUCAAAGCUCAGAAAAUCUGACUUUUAGAAAUUCGGUGGAAUUGUGCUGCUAUUCUGGCUGCUUAUGUCCUGUACAGAUGGCUGUUUCUUAGACUGCUCUAGCCUUUUCCCUCUCUGUGGUCUGUCUCUCCACUCUAGCUUUCAGCCUUGUUACUUUAGCCCUUUCCUUUCCAAAUAGUGUGCUUUUAUAUCUGUCCGCCGCCCCCGCCCCCAAUGCAGCAGGGGGAGUUCGUGAUUGGGAGUACAACAGAGUAUUUAGCCCUUUUCCCUGCAUGCAAUGGCCCCAAUGAAUACUGUCCUCCUCCCAAAUAUUUGAAGCUGAGGAAAGGGAGACUGCCCAUGUAGAUACUGAGGGUUAGAAGUCUGAAAGCAUGAGGUGCUUUCAGGUUAAAGCAGAACAGCAAUGAUGUGGUUCUACUAAAUCAUGCAUGUCUGGAAUAAUAAUAAUAAUAAUAAUAAUAAUAAUAAUAAUAAUAAUAAUUUAUACCCCGCCCAUCUGGCUGAGUUUCCCCAGUCACUCUGGGCAGCUCCCAAUCGAGUUAAAAACAAUACAGCAUUAAAUAUUAAAAACUUCCUGAAACAGGGCUGCCUUCAGAUGCCUUUUAAAAAUAGGAUAGCUGCUUAGUUCCUUGACAUCUGAUGGGAGUGCAUUCCACAGGGCUGCACCACUACCAAGAAGGCCCUCUGUCUGGUUUCCUGUAACCUCACUUCUCGCAAUGAGGGAAUCGCCAGAAGGCCCUUGGCACUGGAUCUCAGUAUCUGGGCUGAACGAUGGGGGUGGAGACGCUCCUUCAGGUAUACAGGACCGAGGUUGUUUAGGGCUUUAAAGGUAAGCACCAACACUUUGAAUUGUGCUUGGAAAUGUACUGGGAGCCAAUGCAGAUCUCUCAGGGCUGGUGUUAUGUGGUCUUGGUGGCCACUCCCAGUCCCCAGUCUAGCUGUCGCAUUCUGGAUUAAUCACAGUUUCUGGGUCACCUUCAAGGUAGCCCCACAUAGAGUGCAUUGCAAUAGUCCCAGCAAGAGAUAACUAGAGCAUGCACCACUCUGGCAAGACAGUCCACGGGCAGGUAGGGUUUCAGCCUGUGUACCAGAUGGAGCUGGUGGACAGCUGCCCUGGACGCAGAAUUAACCUGUGCCUCCAUGGACAGCUGUGAGUCCAAGAUGACUCCAAGGCUGCGCACCUGGUCCUUCAGGGGCACAGUUACCCCAUUCAAGACCAGGGAGUCCCCCACAACCACCCGCCCCUGUCCCCCCAAAACAGUACUUCUGUCUUGUCAGGAUUCAACCGCAAUCUGUCCUGCAGGGUUUCUGACAAAAGUCUUUCCCUGCUACCUGAUCCUUUUAUCUGGAGAUGCCAGAGUCUGCACCCAGGACAGUAUUCAUGCAAAACAUGAGCUUUACUCCAGAGCUUUCAUACUUUGUCUGCAUUUCCUUUUUACUUGCAGAUAACUUUCUUUCCUCCCUUCUUCCCAAAUCAGUAGGCCUUGCUUCCCCCAGAUAAUCUAGUAAAACCACCUGAAACUCUACCAUGUGGCAACCACCACUGGAGAGUUUAAUGCCGUUUUGUUUAUUAUUGACAAACACUUCCUUCUACAUUUCUAAUACUUACUGGCAGGUGACAAGAUGCCACUUCACAGAGUCACUAAUUUCCUACCACUUCAGAUUUGUUUGAUAGCCAGAAGAGAAACAGCCAGUGUUGCUCCUUCAGUUUGUCAUUUCCAGUGUAGUAAAUGCUUUUUCAGCUUGUUGUUUCUGGUGAAUCUCUUGUCCACAGUCCCGACAUGCAGUAUUUAGUGCAGGAAGCUAAUCAAAACAAUUUGUGCAGUCCUUUAAAUCUUCAGCAUCAAAAGACAGUUGCAGUAAGAGCUUUGCAAAAGGGUGCAAAUCAAAUCUGAAAGCAAGUUCUUGAUGACAAAAAAGGGAGGAAUGAUGGGGAAAAGGUGCACAAUUUCACUGAGAUCUCUGAUGAAACUGGAGAACCAUGAUACAAUAUAUGAUCCAGAAAGGUGGUAUGUUAACUGGGAUCAUCAAAAAAAGAUUUGUGGCUGACAUAUAGUGGAGGAUUUAAUGCUAAUCUUGUUGGCAAUAUAUUCAAAAAGCUAUCUGCAUCUAGUCAUUGCAUAGAUCAGGUCACCUGCCACGACUUUUGUUUUUCUGACUGCACUCACCAGCCCAGCUCCAGCUGGAAAGCAUGACCAUGUAUAAUUGCAACCACUCUUGCAAUGCUUACUACAAAAGCUGAAGUGACCCAUUGGCGUACUAAUGUUUAGCAUGCUGCUUGUCAAAUGCCAGCUGUAGUGUUGGCCUGAUUUUAGCUAAUUGCCUACAGCCGUGGGUACUCAGGAUUGUCAGUCUGGCCAGCCUCAGCUUUCAUAUCCAACCCUAUAUCUCCCUGAUUCUAGUAGCUGUGACCAAACAGCCCCAGCUCCAGUCACCAUGCAUCCUAGCUAUUGAUUGAUUUAUCAGCCUAUUGGCCAUUUACAAAAUAAAAACAAUAAAAUCAAUCUGAUAAGAGUAGUGUCACAGGAAGCACAUAUUUUUCCUGAUCUAACACUCUGAAAGUCACACAGUCCAAAACAUCUGCUCAGGAUUUUUCAACCUUGGGUCCCCAGAUUUUGUUGGACUACAACUCCCACCAUCUCUAGCUAGCAGGCCCAGUGAUCAGAGAUGAUGUGAGUUGUAGUCCAACAACAUCUAGGGACCCAAGGUAGAGAACGGCAGAUCACGGGCCACCAGGUCAGAGAAGGCUGCACUCGAGUCUCAGACUCACUCCAUCGCAUCUUUUCAGAGUCUACCACAUGCGCUUUGAUCUGGAAAUUCCUCCACGGGGAACUAGGGGAAUGAACAACCUGCCUUCAUGCCUUGGGGCCAGAGAACCACCACAAGCUGCUUUCUGUCCACAGCUAUAGCAACUCAGCAAAGCAUAGCGAGCAGCACUACUCCAGCUCUGAUUUUCACUGGCAUCUGAACCAAGUUCUGUCUCAUUCCACAGCACCCCAUCUAUGAAGUCUAUAGGACUUUAAGUGAUGUGGGAAAGAACAAAACGUAAGAAGGAAUUAUGAUUAGAAUUAGAUUUAAAACAUACUAACAUUUCCGCUCUUCUCUCUCUUUUUAAUUAAUUAGCCUCCAGCAAAGAUUCCCAUUCCCAUUCCCAGAUAUAAUCCUUGCUAUACAAUGAAGAUGCU